UGUGCUGCACUGGAGAUUCUAAUGUUAGGGUCCAUUCACACAUCCGCAAUUUCGUUCCGCAUUUUCCGGAACGGAAUUGCGGACCCAUUAAUUUCUAUGAGGCAGCACAAUGUGUUGCCCGGACACGGAACUGCGGACCCCCACUU